AUUGAUAUAAACUAUCGCUUCUAUAGAUUUGAUUUCAUUCCCACUCGUUUUGAAAAUUAAAAACGUACUAUACUUUUCUACUUUACAGUGCAUGUGAAUCGUGUAAGAUUUUUUAUAGUAAUUUAUUAUUACGUAUUUCGUACGGUGAUUCUGAAUAAAUCAACAAAAUUAAACCAAUCGACAUUUGUUGUAAUUUUUUUUUAGUUCUGUAAAACAACUGCUAAGAAUCCGAAAAUGUUUUCAAAUAAAUUAUUACCAGAUAAAAAAAUUUGAAUAUUUUAAGAUACGAUGUGAAUGAUUUGGAGUAUUUUUACUAAUUCAAAGUAUUUUCAGAGAAAAAACACACGUAUCUUAAUAAAUCUGAUAGCUUCUUCAUUAGUUCGUUAUACACUC